UUAUAAUUCACCCCAACUGCACUGAUGUGAUCGACCAUGAUGACUGUGUGAGGUACCUGAGUACAGAGUGUAGCGUCACCGAUUACAUUGCAAGGUUUUGCUGUCGGACCUGUACUCUCGUGGAACACUUGCCUGCCCAUGGACCACACCUUCUAAAUACAGCUAAAGCGCCCUUGUCCGCUGACCUCCGACUGAGUGGCAGCGAUUCCGUUUGGAAAUUUCCUUGGGGUUCCAACAUUGAUAUAUCUUGCACCUCCGGCAGUCUUCUCAAGCCUACAGUUUUGUGGUUUAAAGAUGGCCAUGUGAUUGAAGAAUCGGAAAAAUAUCGGAUACAAGUAAGCGAAGAGAAGGUGUGGGUGAGACAUUUCGUGAAGUCUCAGCUAACGGUGAAGACGUUGAAGGUCGGGGACAACGGCCGGUACACGUGCAGGGCCGUCAUCCUGGGCACCACCGAGGAGAGACACGCGACGCUUGUGUUCGAGCAGGACGGAUUCUUCUCGUUCAGGGAGCGUAUUCAGUAGUGGGACUCCCGAAUAAGAUAUUCUGGAUAAACUAAACAUAUCCCAUAUUUACCUUGAAUAUUAAUAAUCGUAAGAUAAUCCGUGAAAGUCAGUGACAUCCAACUAAAGAAAAAAUGUCCACGAUACUUUGCUCUAUAGAGCAGCACUCCUCCCCGAAGGCUUAGAUUGUUCUGCAGCUUGCUUAGCAUAUGCUGUUCACCUGAUUUCCUUCACAGGUGGUGCUAUUUUUAUACAGAAUGCUAACGUCUGAUGCUUCCGUAGAUUAUGCGUGGUAUAUUUUCCCAUUUACCAAUUACGUCCAUUUGAAACUUGUAGUUUGCAUAUUUUGAAAAUGUAUUCUAGAAAAAAAUGGUAAUAAUUUUUCUUUUCUUUUUUACUGGGAACGCUUUUCACACGGUAAAUGUCAGGAAUGAAAGAUUUGAAAUAUAUUCUUGAUAAUAACCUAAUUGAACCGCAUUCAUGUUGACAAAUGUAGAAAAGGUAUGAAUGAGAAUGAAUAUCUUCACAGUACAAGAGAUGUAUUUGACCGGUUUCGAUUAUAUCUUCGUCUGACGAAGAUAUAAUCGAAACCGGUCAAAUAUAUCUCUUGUACUGUGAAGAUAUUCAUUCUCAUUCAUACCUUUCUACAAUAACCUAAUUGCCUACUACGUGGGUGGUAGAGAUUUCUUCACUUCUUGCCUAUGCUAUACAAAUAUAGACAAAUGACAGUAAUAUAUUCAAGUCUUAACCCACGUUCGCAUCUGCAGUUUUCAUGCAGUGUUAUCUUUGUGACUUUCGAACAUUCUUUUAAUCACAAGUCAGGUAGUCUGUCUCUUUACUCAUAAAAAUACAAAAUUCCAAAAUAAAGGUAUUCAGUACUGAAAAUAAUCUAUAGUCAGUAUGUAAAAAUACAGAUGAAAGACAAAGUUAAAGUGUUGCCUGAAGAAUGUGUCCACUGGUAUGGUUUCUCGUAAAUGGAUCUUGUUGACGCGGCACCUAUAACGCAUAUUUUGUAAUCUACUGUUGGAAAUAUCAGAAAUGUUCAAAUGUGCAAGUAUUUGGCUUGUGGUUGAAAGGAGGAAUUCUGCAUGACUUCUUACACUGUAUUUUUGAAAUGUAUGCAUAUAUAAACCAUUUUAAAACU